GUGGAUGCCUUGACACUAGGAGUCGAUGAAGGACGGGACUAACGCCGAUAUGCUUCGGGGAGCUGUAAGUAAGCUUUGAUCCGAAGAUUUCCGAAUGGGGAAACCCACCAUACGUAAUGGUAUGGUAUCCUUAUCUGAAUACAUAGGGUAAGGAAGACAGACCCAGGGAACUGAAACAUCUAAGUACCUGGAGGAAGAGAAAGCAAAUGCGAUUUCCUGAGUAGCGGCGAGCGAAACGGAACAUAGCCCAAACCAAGAGGCUUGCCUCUUGGGGUUGUAGGACAUUCUAUACGGAGUUACAAAGGAACGAGGUAGACGAAGCGACCUGGAAAGGUCCGUCGUAGAGGGUAACAACCCCGUAGUCGAAACUUCGUUCUCUCUUGAAUGUAUCCUGAGUACGGCGGAACACGUGAAAUUCCGUCGGAAUCUGGGAGGACCAUCUCCCAAGGCUAAAUACUCCCUAGUGAUCGAUAGUGAACCAGUACCGUGAGGGAAAGGUGAAAAGCACCCCGGAAGGGGAGUGAAAGAGAUCCUGAAACCGUGUGCCUACAAAUAGUCAGAGCCCGUUAACGGGUGAUGGCGUGCCUUUUGUAGAAUGAACCGGCGAGUUACGAUCCCGUGCGAGGUUAAGCUGAAGAGGCGGAGCCGCAGCGAAAGCGAGUCUGAAUAGGGCGUUUAGUACGUGGUCGUAGACCCGAAACCAGGUGAUCUACCCAUGUCCAGGGUGAAGUUCAGGUAACACUGAAUGGAGGCCCGAACCCACGCACGUUGAAAAGUGCGGGGAUGAGGUGUGGGUAGCGGAGAAAUUCCAAUCGAACCUGGAGAUAGCUGGUUCUCCCCGAAAUAGCUUUAGGGCUAGCCUUAAGUGUAAGAGUCUUGGAGGUAGAGCACUGAUUGGACUAGGGGUCCUCAUCGGAUUACCGAAUUCAGUCAAACUCCGAAUGCCAAUGACUUAUCCUUAGGAGUCAGACUGCGAGUGAUAAGAUCCGUAGUCAAAAGGGAAACAGCCCAGACCGCCAGCUAAGGUCCCAAAGUGUGUAUUAAGUGGAAAAGGAUGUGGAGUUGCUUAGACAACUAGGAUGUUGGCUUAGAAGCAGCCACCAUUUAAAGAGUGCGUAAUAGCUCACUAGUCGAGUGACUCUGCGCCGAAAAUGUACCGGGGCUAAAUACACCACCGAAGCUGCGGAUUGAUACCAAUGGUAUCAGUGGUAGGGGAGCGUUCUAAGGACAGUGAAGUCAGACCGGAAGGACUGGUGGAGUGCUUAGAAGUGAGAAUGCCGGUAUGAGUAGCGAAAGACGGGUGAGAAUCCCGUCCACCGAAUGCCUAAGGUUUCCUGAGGAAGGCUCGUCCGCUCAGGGUUAGUCAGGACCUAAGCCGAGGCCGACAGGCGUAGGCGAUGGACAACAGGUUGAUAUUCCUGUACCACCUCUUUAUCGUUUGAGCAAUGGAGGGACGCAGAAGGAUAGAAGAAGCGUGCGAUUGGUUGUGCACGUCCAAGCAGUUAGGCUGAUAAGUAGGCAAAUCCGCUUAUCGUAAAGGCUGAGCUGUGAUGGGGAAGCUCCUUAUGGAGCGAAGUCUUUGAUUCCCCGCUGCCAAGAAAAGCUUCUAGCGAGAUAAAAGGUGCCUGUACCGCAAACCGACACAGGUAGGCGAGGAGAGAAUCCUAAGGUGUGCGAGAGAACUCUGGUUAAGGAACUCGGCAAAAUGACCCCGUAACUUCGGGAGAAGGGGUGCUUUCUUAACGGAAAGCCGCAGUGAAUAGGCCCAAGCGACUGUUUAGCAAAAACACAGCUCUCUGCGAAGCCGUAAGGCGAAGUAUAGGGGGUGACACCUGCCCGGUGCUGGAAGGUUAAGGAGAGGGGUUAGCGUAAGCGAAGCUCUGAACUGAAGCCCCAGUAAACGGCGGCCGUAACUAUAACGGUCCUAAGGUAGCGAAAUUCCUUGUCGGGUAAGUUCCGACCCGCACGAAAGGUGUAACGAUUUGGGCACUGUCUCAACCAGAGACUCGGUGAAAUUAUAGUACCUGUGAAGAUGCAGGUUACCCGCGACAGGACGGAAAGACCCCGUGGAGCUUUACUGUAGCCUGAUAUUGAAUUUUGGUACAGUUUGUACAGGAUAGGCGGGAGCCAUUGAAACCGGAGCGCUAGCUUCGGUGGAGGCGCUGGUGGGAUACCGCCCUGACUGUAUUGAAAUUCUAACCUACGGGUCUUAUCGACCCGGGAGACAGUGUCAGGUGGGCAGUUUGACUGGGGCGGUCGCCUCCUAAAGUGUAACGGAGGCGCCCAAAGGUUCCCUCAGAAUGGUUGGAAAUCAUUCGUAGAGUGCAAAGGCAUAAGGGAGCUUGACUGCGAGACCUACAAGUCGAGCAGGGACGAAAGUCGGGCUUAGUGAUCCGGUGGUUCCGCAUGGAAGGGCCAUCGCUCAACGGAUAAAAGCUACCCCGGGGAUAACAGGCUUAUCUCCCCCAAGAGUCCACAUCGACGGGGAGGUUUGGCACCUCGAUGUCGGCUCAUCGCAUCCUGGGGCUGUAGUCGGUCCCAAGGGUUGGGCUGUUCGCCCAUUAAAGCGGUACGCGAGCUGGGUUCAGAACGUCGUGAGACAGUUCGGUCCCUAUCCGUCGUGGGCGUAGGAAAUUUGAGAGGAGCUGUCCUUAGUACGAGAGGACCGGGAUGGACGCACCGCUGGUGUACCAGUUGUUCUGCCAAGGGCAUAGCUGGGUAGCUAUGUGCGGAAGGGAUAAGUGCUGAAAGCAUCUAAGCAUGAAG
rnacentral:rRNA from 1 species